ACAGCAAUAUCACGUUGAAACACCGCUUCUCGCACGAUCACCGAAGUUAAACAACGUCAAACCCGGUUAGUAUCAAGAUGGGUGACCGCUUGAGAAUAUCAAGUGCUGUAAG